rnacentral:rRNA from 1 species
UACGAAGGGUGCAAACGUUGCUCGGAAUUAUUGGGCGUAAAGCGCACGUAGGCGGCUUUGCAAGUCGGAUGUGAAAUCCCUCGGCUCAACCAAGGAAGUGCAUCCGAAACUGCAGAGCUUGAGUACCAAAGAGGAUCGUGGAAUUCCCGGUGUAGAGGUGAAAUUCGUAGAUAUCGGGGAGGAACACCAGUGGCGAAGGCGGCGAUCUGGGUGGAUACUGACGCUGAGGUGCGAAAGCGUGGGGAGCAAACAGG